AUCAGUAUUUGUCCCGAGAAGGCACUUACGGGAAGGUUUACAGACCCAGAGAGAAAACUACUGGAAAGAUCGUCGCUCUCAAGAAGACGCGUCUCCAUGAAGACGAAGAAGGCGUUCCUUCCAUCACUCUCCGCGAGAUCUCCAUCUUACGCAUGCUCGCUCGCGAUCCUCACAUCGUCAGAGAUCUUAAGCCUUACAAUCUCUUGAUGGAUCCCAAGACGAUGAGGCUCAAGAUUGCAGAUCUUGGUUUAGCCAGAGCCUUCACUCUCCCUAUGAAGAAGUAUACCCAUGAGAUAGUGACUCUAUGGUAUAGAGCUCCAGAAGUUCUUCUUGGUGCCACUCAUUACUCUACAGCUGUUGAUAUGUGGUCUGUUGGCUGCGUUUUUGGUACGUUUUACUCACUUCAAUAUCAAUUUUCACUUAUAAAAACUACAGAUAGUGACUCUAACGUUGUUUCUUUGACAUUGACAGCUGAGCUUGUGACCAACCAAGCGAUUCUUGCUGGGGACUCUGAGCUCCAACGUCCUCACCAUCACUCUCACUUAAACUUCUUAAUCAGACUUGAAAAAAUUCUUCGGUAACGUCUUCUUCCGAUUUGUUGCGUAAUCAGCCUUCGACGCUCUCCGUCUGGGUAGAUCGUCGCAGUUCAUUGUUGCUUGGCUUCUCCGUUUAUGGGACUCGGAAAACAUCAAGAAGUAUGGUAAAUUCAUGGGUAUCACUCUACUUCUCCUUGAUGAGAAGAUUGUCUCUCAUCACACUGCAAGAAACUAUAUGAAGUCAAAGAAGGCAAAUAAAAGUUUGAUUUCAAGGUGGUCACCGAGACCGUUCCAAAAUGAGCGUGAUUAUGUCCCGUUGAGCUCUAUGGCUUGGCCAAAGACGAGUCUGAUUACGGAUGAUACACAACAAGCUUCAAGAUAGAUAACAGUGACCUUCGAUAAAGGAGGCAAGCCUACUGUUAGAGUUGCUAGCCUUGGCCACGCGUUGCAUGUCUGGCUCAAUUGAGAAUACCUUGGAUAGUGUCUUAUCUGGAGCAUAGAUUCACAUGUCACACGUAGUGUUUCCAUCUUAGGGUUGAGCUCUGGACCACUUGAUCUCACUGAGAAAAACAAAUGGGGAAACAAGGUGGGUAUUGAAAGCUAGAAGCUCUAUAUUCACACGAGAAAGGGUAGAAGAAGGUUAAGUGGCAGAAAUUCUCAGGAAAAGCAUCAGGACUUACCUGGUAUCAGGCAUACUUUGAUGCGCCAGGGGUUUAGUAAUAUUAAGUUUUCUUUUUCCAUCUGAAGAAGAUUCUUUAACGAACCAAGGAAAAUAAAUAAGUACGUAUUCCUCUUAGUAUCACUAGACAUGAAAAUAAAAUUUUGUGCUCACUUCACUACCACAGGUUAGUUUAUAUCUAACUUAGCACCAACAUCUUAUGCUCAUUUGGUAUUCCUCUUACUAUCACUAGACAUUAUAGACUGCAUACUGGGAAAGUUGAUAACUCUGAAACAUCACAUGAGUGGUGCUAUAUCUCAUGCUCCAAGAGCUCCUGGAAACUGCAGCGUGGGCUUUCAUCUUUAGUGUGUGGAUCAUAUCAUGAUGAAAAAGCUGUUGGCAUUGUUAGUACCGGGUGGAAAUGGCAGUAUCAGAUGCAUCCGACUCUGCUCUGUUUGUGGCUUUCGAUGCUGAGAUGAACAAGCUGAUCAAUGUUCCUGCUGCAUGGUAGGACUGGUAACAUCAAUCAAUUGGCCUCUGUUAUUUGUGUGUAGCUUUAGUAAAAUUGAAAGGACUGUUUAGUUAUUUGUGAUUGUCCAACAGGGCACCAGCAUGGAGGAUGCACAUGACAUUGCCUUCCCACAGUGCCUCAGAGACAUACUGGGGAGGGCCUUAACAUUCCAGCAGAAACUUUCAAGGUUUAAUUUUUCAUCGAAGCAU